GACAGAGGAUGCAAACGUUGUUCGGAAUUACUGGGCGUAAAGCGUGUGUAGGCGGUCCAUUAAGUCGGGCGUGAAAGCUCUGGGCUCAACCCAGAAAGAGCACUCGAUACUGGUGGACUUGAGUCUCGGAGAGGUUGGUAGAAUUCUUGGUGUAGAGGUGAAAUUCGUAGAUAUCAAGAGGAAUACCGGUGGCGAAGGCGGCCAACUGGACGAAGACUGACGCUGAGACACGAAAGCAUGGGGAGCAAACAGG
rnacentral:rRNA from 1 species